AUGGGUUUGCAAUCUGAAGAAUGUGUAGAUUUUCCGGCACUCAGCAACGUGCGCUGGCCAGAAUCAACUGCAUCUUUUCCAGAGCGUGAUACCUCCCCGACUACCGAUCGUAGAGUUCCCCACGCCAAUGGUUUCAAGUGUGAACUGGAAACUUUCACAACGUCCAGAGUCCUUGAUGUCCUGCAAAUGAAGGAGGAUGUCCUUAAGUUCUGCAGCAGGAACCCACUUAGGUGGCACCAACCUGGGCUUGUAAAUGGAACAGCACAUCUGCAAAGGAAAAGUGAUGGCAUCUACAUCAGAAAUCUGAAAAGGACCCGGGAGAAACUUCUAAGAGCAGCUCAUGCCAUUGUUGCCACUGAAAACCCAGCUGAUGUCAGUGUCAUAUGUUCCAGGAAUAAUGGCCAGAGGGUGGUGCUGGAAUUUGCUGCUGCCACUGGAGCCACUCCAAUUGCUGCCGCUUCACUCCUGGGACCUUCACCAACCAGAUCCAGGAAGUCUCCCGGGCGCUACGGCUUCUUGUGGUUACCGACCUCAGGGUUGACCAUCAGCCUCACACAGAGGCAUCUUAUGUUAACCUUCCCACCAUUGCUCUGUGUCACACAGAUUCUCCUCUGCGCUAUGUGAGCAUUGCCAUUCCAUGCAACAAGGAGCUCACUCAGUGGGUUUGACGUGGAUGCUGGCUGGGGAAGUUCUGUACAUGCGUGGUACCAUUUCCCACAAACACCCAUGGGAGGUCAUUCCUGAUCUCUACUUCUACAUAGAUCCUGAAGAGAUUGAAAAAGAAGAGCAGGCUGCUGCUGAAAAGCCUGUGACCAAGGAGGAAUUUCAGAGUGAAUGGACUGCUCCAGCUCCUGAGUUCACUGCUACUCAGCCUGAGGUUGCAGACUGGUCUGACGGCAUGCAGGUGCCCUCUGUGCCCAUUCAGCAGUUCCCUACUGAAGACGAGAGCGCCCAGCCUGCCACGGAAGACUGGUCUGCAGCUCCCACUGCUCGGUCCACUGAGUGGGUUGGAGCAACCACUGAAUGGUCUUAAGCUGUUCUUGUACCGGCCCUUCAGCAGCAUGGAAGUAAGGCUGAUGGAAAAUAAACAUCAGUUUCUAA